rnacentral:rRNA from 1 species
AUUGAACGCUGGCGGCAGGCCUAACACAUGCAGGUCGAAUGGUAACAGGAAACAGCUUGCUGUUUCGCUGACGAGUGGCGGACGGGUGAGUAAUGUCUGGGAAACUGCCUGAUGGAGGGGGAUAACUACUGGAAACGGUAGCUAAUACCGCAUAACGUCGCAAGACCAAAGAGGGGGACCUUCGGGCCUCUUGCCAUCAGAUGUGCCCAGAUGGGAUUAGCUAGUAGGUGGGGUAACGGCUCACCUAGGCGACGAUCCCUAGCUGGUCUGAGAGGAUGACCAGCCACACUGGAACUGAGACACGGUCCAGACUCCUACGGGAGGCAGCAGUGGGGAAUAUUGCACAAUGGGCGCAAGCCUGAUGCAGCCAUGCCGCGUGUAUGAAGAAGGCCUUCGGGUUGUAAAGUACUUUCAGCGGGGAGGAAGGGAGUAAAGUUAAUACCUUUGCUCAUUGACGUUACCCGCAGAAGAAGCACCGGCUAACUCCGUG